rnacentral:rRNA from 1 species
GGAGCCGUGCGGCUUAAUUUGACCCAACACGGGAAACCUCACCCGGCCCGGACACGGAAAGGAUUGACAGAUUGAUAGCUCUUUCUCGAUUCUGUGGGUGGUGGUGCAUGGCCGUUCUUAGUUGGUGGAGCGAUUUGUCUGGUUAAUUCCGAUAACGAACGAGACUCUGGCAUGCUAACUAGUUACGCGACCCUCGAGUGGUCGGCGUCCCAACUUCUUAGAGGGACAAGUGGCGUGCAUCCACCCGAGAUUGAGCAAUAACAGGUCUGUGAUGCCCUUAGAUGUCCGGGGCUGAACGCGCGCUACACUGACUGGCUCAGCGUGUGCCUACCCUACGCCGGCAGGCGCGGGUAACCCGUUGAACCCCAUUCGUGAUGGGGAUCGGGGAUUGCAAUUAUUCCCCAUGAACGAGGAAUUUCCAGUAAGCGCGGCUCAUAAGCUUGCGUUGAUUAAGUCCCUGCCCUUUGUACACACACGCCC